UAACUGUAAACGAUGCGGACUUGGUGUUGGGGUGGCUUUGAGCUGCUUCAGUGCCGAAGGGAAGCUGUUAAGUCCGCCGCCUGGGAAGUACGGUCGCAAGACUGAAACUUAAAGGAAUUGGCGGGGGGAGCACCACAACACGUGGAGCCUGCGGUUUAAUUGGAUUCAACGCCGGAAAUCUUACCGGGACCGACAGCAACAUGAAGGCCAAGCUGAAGACUUUGCCGGAUUAGCUGAGAGGAGGUGCAUGGCGUAGUCGUGU
rnacentral:rRNA from 1 species